GUGAUAAGCUGCGAUAAGCUUCGGGGAGUUGCACGUAAACUUUGAUCCGAAGAUUUCCGAAUGAGGAAACUCACUUAGAGUAAUGUCUAAGUAUCAUUAAGUGAAUACAUAGCUUAAUGAGGGGAACUCAGGGAACUGAAACAUCUAAGUACCUGAAGGAAGAGAAAGAAAUUCGAUUCCGUAAGUAGCGGCGAGCGAACGCGGAUUAGCCCAAAC
rnacentral:rRNA from 1 species